UUUAUCAGAUCUUUGGAUUCCAUAUCUACUUGUGCGUGUGGGUUUGAGGCUUGUGCCGUAGGGUUCCGCGUCAGUUGGUAUCAGAGCCAAAGUGAGGUAAAUUCUUAUUUAUCUCAGGAUCUAGAGUUUUUUUCUGGGUUUUCCUUUUCUUCGUUAUUGAUUUCUGUGAGUUUCUUUUUCUUCGUUAGUGAGUUUUCCUUUUUUUCUGAGUUUUUUUUUUUCUGAGNNNNNNNNNNNNNNNNNNNNNNNNNNNNNNNNNNNNNNNNNNNNNNNAAAAAAAAAAAAAAAAUCCCUUUGCCUUAUCUUGUUCUGGCAGAAAUUGUGAUUGUAUCUAUAUUUCCGUACCUAUCUCAAUUGAUUGCUGUAGUUUGUGGGAAUCAAUUUGGAAAUUUGAAAUUUGAAUUGGGUUGAAUCCAGAUUAGAGACAAGAAUUCUGCCUAUUGAAUUUUAUUUGAUUUUUUUUUUCUGUCUCUAUUUGUGGGUCUUGAUACUUGCCUUUUUGGGUAGAUUUUAAUAGAUCCAUAUUUAAUUUACUUUGAAGUGAAUUAAAUUCUAAGUUUCCUUUUUGGUUUAAGCUUGUUUUUAUUUCCUUGACAUUGUUGGAGUAUUAUUUGCUUGUGUCUAUACUCUAGGUGAUAUUUUCAAGUAGCACACCACCUAGUUCUGGUGUUACUUUCCAAAUUGUCAGUGUCUUUUUUCUAGUUUUUGUGCGCUUCCUUCUUUCCUUAGGUUUUUUUCUUUGUUUCAUUAAACGCACCUUGUGGUUAGUUUGUUGACCUUAGUUUCUGAAGUGCAAUUGAAGAAUCAGCAAAAGAGUGGUAAGUGUGCAGACACUUGAGUGCUUUCUUUUCUAACACAAUAUUUGCUAGUUUCUUUGUUCUUUGUUGAUUUAAGGUAGGAUGAGUAAAGACAAAAAUGUGGUGGAUAGUACUGGUGAAAGUGAAUCGGACAUGGGUAACGAUUAUGAGAUCUUUAAGAAGUCAGUCAGUGGUGAGUUACAAAGGCUCAGUAGGGCUCUUGAGAGGAUGACCGUAAGUAUGGAGAGUUUGAAAGUCUCACAGGCUUCUACUUCUACGAGAAUGGCUCAUCGAAUUCUUAACCCCGAUAGACCACAAGUCCGAGAACCUCAAGUUCGAGGUGAAGUUGAUGAUACAGAAGAUAAUGUCGGACAAGGGAGGGGGAGAGGAGAAGUUCAUGGAGGUAAUAGAACAGGCGUAGGGUGGAAUAGAGGUGGAGAUGCUAGGCUUGGCA
rnacentral:lncRNA from 1 species